rnacentral:rRNA from 1 species
UACGGAGGAUGCGAGCGUUAUCCGGAUUUAUUGGGUUUAAAGGGUGCGUAGGCGGCUUUUUAAGUCAGCGGUGAAAUUUUGCAGCUUAACUGUAACAGUGCCGUUGAUACUGGGGAGCUAGGAUUUGGUUGCUGUGGGUGGAAUGUGUGGUGUAGCGGUGAAAUGCUUAGAGAUCACACAGAAUAUCGAUUGCGAAGGCAGCUCACAAAGCCAAGAUUGACGCUGAGGCACGAAAGUGUGGUGAUCAAACAGGA